rnacentral:lncRNA from 1 species
GGUCAUAGUCACACGUGGAGAAAAAAAACUCAGUCAACACUUCCUGGUAGUUCCGAUGAUGCUCUACCUAUUAAGAAGUACCCCCAUAGCUGAACCUACGAUACCCCGCAACAUUAUUCCCAACCUCACAAAUGAAAUAUUAGCCUGAGAUUAGCCUUAAUCUCAGAUUUGCAUCUGUAAGAACCUGGGAUGCAUUCUUGGAUAAUAACCCAAAGAUAUACAAAUUAAAGAAAAAGUCCCUCUACAAAGG